rnacentral:rRNA from 1 species
AACGAACGCUGGCGGCAUGCCUAACACAUGCAAGUCGAACGAGACCUUCGGGUCUAGUGGCGCACGGGUGCGUAACGCGUGGGAACCUGCCCUUAGGUUCGGAAUAACUCCCCGAAAGGGGUGCUAAUACCGGAUAAUGUCUUCGGACCAAAGAUUUAUCGCCUUUGGAUGGGCCCGCGUUGGAUUAGCCAGUUGGUAGGGUAAAAGCCUACCAAGGCGACGAUCCAUAGCUGGUCUGAGAGGAUGAUCAGCCACACUGGGACUGAGACACGGCCCAGACUCCUACGGGAGGCAGCAGUGGGGAAUAUUGGACUAUGGGCGAAAGCCUGAUCCAGCAAGGCCGCGUGAGUGAUGAAGGCCUUAGGGUUGUAAAGCUCUUUUACCCGGGAUGAUAAUGACAGUACCGGGAGAAUAAGCCCCGGCUAACUCCGUG